AUACGGAGGGGGCUAGCGUUGUUCGGAAUUACUGGGCGUAAAGCGCGCGUAGGCGGCCUGCCAAGUUGGGGGUGAAAGCCCGGGGCUCAACCCCGGAACUGCCCUCAAAACUGGCAAGCUAGAGCCCGGGAGAGGUGAGUGGAAUUCCCAGUGUAGAGGUGAAAUUCGUAGAUAUUGGGAAGAACACCAGCGGCGAAGGCGGCUCACUGGACCGGUACUGACGCUGAGGUGCGAAAGCGUGGGGAGCAAACAGGAUUAGAAACCCCGGUAGUCC
rnacentral:rRNA from 1 species